AUUGAACGCUGGCGGCAGGCCUAACACAUGCAAGUCGAGCGGAUGAGAGGAGCUUGCUCUUUGAUUCAGCGGCGGACGGGUGAGUAAUGCCUAGGAAUCUGCCUGGUAGUGGGGGACAACGUUUCGAAAGGAACGCUAAUACCGCAUACGUCCUGCGGGAGAAAGUGGGGGAUCUUCGGACCUCACGCUAUCAGAUGAGCCUAGGUCGGAUUAGCUAGUUGGUGAGGUAAUGGCUCACCAAGGCGACGAUCCGUAACUGGUCUGAGAGGAUGGUCAGUCACACUGGAACUGAGACACGGUCCAGACUCCUACGGGAGGCAGCAGUGGGGAAUAUUGGACAAUGGGCGCAAGCCUGAUCCAGCCAUGCCGCGUGUGUGAAGAAGGUCUUCGGAUUGUAAAGCACUUUAAGUUGGGAGGAAGGUCAGUGGCUUAAUACGUUGCUGAUUUGACGUUACCGACAGAAUAAGCACCGGCUAACUCUGUGCCAGCAGCCGCGGUAACAC
rnacentral:rRNA from 1 species